CGAUAAAGGUGACGACACGUCAUCCGCUCAUUGGAAUAACAAUACCCCGCGCUGUAAAACACGCUAUGCGUUCUCGUUUCCACCGUUCUCGCGCGCUUUUCUUCGCCGUACCGGCAAUUGGCCGAACUCAACCUGUCUGACAUGACCUCCCUGCGCUAUUCUCGACGGGACCUGUCGAUGACUAUCGCGCCUAUACACAAUGAAUCCGCCAUUUUUGCGACAGUCCCCGCUCUUGGCAUUCGCGAAAGAUCUGCUCGCGAUACUCGGCCAUCGAAUCGUUGCGAAUCGCCGAUCCCUUCCCAUGCCGUGCGAAGCAAGAGUCCAAAACGCGGUGGAGUAAUGAACAGUUCCUUAUUACGAAACAUGAGGAACUACGCGCUGGUACACGCGAUGGUGCUCCUCGCGAUCGAAGGCAUGCUGCUGUGCGGUUUUAUCGUCACGUUCCAAUACGCGCCGGAGGUGAGCGCGACUAACAGGGCCAAUAUCUACGCGUUCAGUCUCAACGGGCAUUCGAGCGGAUCGCCGAUCACGUAUGCACCACUGUAUCAAGAUGUCCACGUGAUGAUCUGGGUCGGCUUCGGCUUCCUCAUGACGUUCCUCAAGCGUUACGGCCAGAGCGCGGCCGGCUUGACCUUCCUCGUCGGCGCCGUGCUCGUCCAGGUGGCUCUAAUCUGCAACGGCGUGACGAACACGUUGACGGGCGCCAAGGCUUAUCUCUCGUUGAAAAGCCUGCUCGAUGCGGACGUCGCCGUCGCCGCGCCGCUCAUCUCCAUGGGAGCGCUCUUGGGCAAGACGACCUACAUGCAGCUGAUAUUUAUGGGGAUCGCCGAACUGAUCAUGUUCAACGUCAACAAAUUCGUGGGCGAGCAUAUGUUCAUGGUGGUCGACGCCGGUGACAGUAUGUUCGUGCACGUGUUCGGCGCGUACUUCGGCCUGGCGGUCAGCUACGUGUUCGGAACGAAGAAGGAGCCGAAGGAGCACGAGCUCGAGGGUGCAUCCUACCAGUCGGACAUAUUCGCCAUGAUCGGUACGCUGUUCUUAUGGCUGUUUUGGCCGUCAUUCAACAGCGCGGGCUUGACGGGCGACGAUCAACAGCGCGCGAUAAUCAACACCUUGCUGUCGAUAUCCGCCAGCUGCGUGACCGCAUUCGCCGUGUCCGCGUUGGUCUCCAACAGCAAGUUCAACAUGGUGCACGUGCAAAACUCGACCCUUGCCGGCGGCGUCGCCAUUGGCACUGCCGCAGGUAUGAUGUGUGGAGGCAUAGGAGCUUUGGCCGUCGGCGCUUUGUCCGGGAUAAUCAGCGUGCUGGGAUAUAAAUACCUCACGCCGAUCAUACAGAAGCACCUGCGGAUCCACGAUACUUGCGGGGUGCACAACUUGCACGGGAUGCCUGGCGUGCUGGCUGGAGUUUUCGGCGCGCUUAUGGCGGUCAUUGCGACCGAAGCCGUUUACGAUUAUUCCCUGUACGACAUCUUCCCAGCGCGGGCGCCCAGCUCAGGGCAGAAAUUCGCCGAGCUGCGGGACAAUAUGUACGACGUAUCGCCGGGAUACGAUCGGACGGCGUAUCAGCAAGCGGGAUUUCAAUUACUGGCGCUGGUGGUCACCCUGGGAAUCUCCAUCGUUUCCGGAUUAAUAACAGGCCACCUUAUGCACGUGUCGGUCUGCGGCUCGAUUUUGGAGGAAGAGAAAUUCGAUGAUAAAGCGGUCUGGGAUCUGGAAGAAGAGACAUUUGCGUCCGGUAACAAUCGCGUGGACACCCAAAUACCGAUGGGCCAUAUGUAAUCACUGACACACGUCUCACGCAAAUUAUCCGGGUACGUCGAUGAAUCUUACCGUUAUUAAGCGGUCCGCCGACGAUCUCUCCACGCGUUGAAAUAAGGUGACGCUUGUGUCCUAAGCUCGCUGCCCGAUGCGUCGGCGCAAGCGUCUUCUUCGGGAUA